UGUAAUGUAGUUUAUUAAAAAUUUUCGUUUUACACACGGAAGAACUCUGUCUGAGCUUUACUA
rnacentral:tRNA from 1 species